rnacentral:lncRNA from 11 species
AUAUAUGUGUGUGUGUGUGUGUGUGUGUGUGUGUGUGUGUGUGUGUGUGUGUGUUAAGUAUGAUAAAUCAUCAGCAAUGGUACAAACUGGGUGCAGAUCGUACAGCCAAUCCAGUGACACAAACAUAUUUUAUGGCCUCAUCAGGAGCACCAGCAAAAGAAGAUCCUAUCAUGUGUUUGCUGAUGCCAUCAUCUGACUUACUAUAUACUCCUGUAUAAAUCAACCUGAUGUAUAAGUUUGUGGCAGGUUUUAAAGCCAAAGCUAUGGAUUUUGAU